rnacentral:misc_RNA from 1 species
GAUGAAGAACGUAGCGAAAUGCGAUAAGUAGUGUGAAUUGCAGAAUUCAGUGAAUCAUCGAAUCUUUGAACGCACAUUGCGCCCCUUGGUAUUCCAUGGGGCAUGCCUGUUCGAGCGUCAUUUGUACCUUCAAGCUCUGCUUGGUGUAGGGUGUUUGUCUCGCCUCUGCGUGUAGACUCGCCUUAAAACAAUUGGCAGCCGGCGUAUUGAUUUCGGAGCGCAGUACAUCUCGCGCUUUGCACUCAUAACGACGACGUCCAAAAGUACAUUUUUACACUCUUGACCUCGGAUCAGGUAGGGAUACCCGCUGAACUUAAGCAUAUCAAUAAGCGGAGGA